rfam:[Eubacterium rectale] ATCC 33656 chromosome, complete genome.
UAGCGGAGCAGCUUAGAAGCUGUAGAAUUAUGCCCAUGAAACCUAGAAAUGUCCAGCCAUGGACGGCUGGGCAAGGCGUUAUGCGCCAUGGACGGCGCAUAAAAGCCGGUUUCGUCAAGCAUAGAAAAACCCCAAGGCAUAAUUCGUACAGAAUCUUAGCUGCGAAGCGU